GACGUAGGGGGCGAGCGUUGUCCGGAUUUAUUGGGCGUAAAGCGCGCGUAGGCGGCUCGGAAAGUCGAAUGUGAAAAUCCGGGGCUUAACCCCGGACCUGCAUCCGAUACUCCCGGGCUAGAGGCAGACAGGGGAGAGCGGAAUUCCUGGUGUAGCGGUGAAAUGCGCAGAUAUCAGGAGGAACACCGAUGGCGAAGGCAGAUCUCUGGGCCUUACCUGACGCUGAGGAGCGAAAGCUGGGGGAGCGAACAGG
rnacentral:rRNA from 1 species